AACGAACGCUGGCGGCAUGCCUAACACAUGCAAGUCGAACGAGACCUUCGGGUCUAGUGGCGCACGGGUGCGUAACGCGCGGGAACCUGCCCUUAGGUUCGGAAUAACUCCCCGAAAGGGGUGCUAAUACCGGAUAAUGUCUUCGGACCAAAGAUUUAUCGCCUUUGGAUGGGCCCGCGUUGGAUUAGCUAGUUGGUAGGGUAAAAGCCUACCAAGGCGACGAUCCAUAGCUGGUCUGAGAGGAUGAUCAGCCACACUGGGACUGAGACACGGCCCAGACUCCUACGGGAGGCAGCAGUGGCGAAUAUUGGACAAUGGGCGAAAGCCUGAUCCAGCAAUGCCGCGUGAGUGAUGAAGGCCUUAGGGUUGUAAAGCUCUUUUACCCGGGAUGAUAAUGACAGUACCGGGAGAAUAAGCUCCGGCUAACUCCGUG
rnacentral:rRNA from 1 species